UAUAUAAAAGAAUGCUUCAUCGGGAGUUUCAAUUUAAAAUUAUAUAUUGUAUAUUCUACACACUUUACAUAAAAACGGCAAUGUCUCGUUUACUUUUUUACCUUCUAAUUAUAGCAAUACUUUUUGUAGCAGGUAUGAAUGCAAGAGUAAAUUGUCCUCAGGUCUGUACAUGCCCACCCAUUCCGGGAUGUUCAGAUUGCGGCAUAUGUAUGUCACAAAAAUAAUCAUAAUUAUAUAAUUUUAUUCGACCAAAUAUUUUCAAGGAAUUGCAACGAAAAAGUUAUUCACUUAUUCGCAUUAUGUCAAAUAAUUAAAAAGAAUAUAAAACAUGUGUGGUGUAUAAAAAAAAAAAAUGAAAAAACUAUAUGCAAUAAA